rnacentral:rRNA from 1 species
GACGAACGCUGGCGGCGUGCUUAACACAUGCAAGUCGAACGGAAAGGCCCUGCUUUUGUGGGGUGCUCGAGUGGCGAACGGGUGAGUAACACGUGAGUAACCUGCCCUUGACUUUGGGAUAACUUCAGGAAACUGGGGCUAAUAUCGGAUAGGAGCUCCUGCUGCAUGGUGGGGGUUGGAAAGUUUCGGCGGUUGGGGAUGGACUCGCGGCUUAUGAGCUUGUUGGUGGGGUAGUGGCUUACCAAGGCUUUGACGGGUAGCCGGCCUGAGAGGGUGACCGGCCACAUUGGGACUGAGAUACGCCCCAGACUCGUACGGGAGACAGCAGUGGGGAGUAUUGCACAAUGAGCGGAAGCCUGAUGAAGAAGCGCCGCGUGCGGGAUGACGGCCUUCGGGUUGUAAAACGCUUUCGCCUGUGACGAAGCGUGAGUGACGGUAAUGGGUAAAGAAGCACCGGCUAACUACGUG